GGCCACCCGCGCUGACCAUUGGCUGUGCUCUUACUCUGACUAUACUGAAAGAGGAGGCAGCAUAAACCCACCCCAUACACACCUCAGCCCAGGCUCUUUGCCUGGUCUGUAUUGUAAAUGGAGGAACAUGG